rnacentral:rRNA from 1 species
AACGAACGCUGGCGGCAUGCCUAACACAUGCAAGUCGAACGAGACCUUCGGGUCUAGUGGCGCACGGGUGCGUAACGCGUGGGAACCUGCCCUUAGGUUCGGAAUAACUCCCCGAAAGGGGUGCUAAUACCGGAUAAUGUCUUCGGACCAAAGAUUUAUCGCCUUUGGAUGGGCCCGCGUUGGAUUAGCUAGUUGGUAGGGUAAAAGCCUACCAAGGCGACGAUCCAUGGCUGGUCUGAGAGGAUGAUCAGCCACACUGGGACUGAGACACGGCCCAGACUCCUACGGGAGGCAGCAGUGGGGAAUAUUGGACAAUGGGCGAAAGUCUGAUCCAGCAAUGCCGCGUGAGUGAUGAAGGCCUUAGGGUUGUAAAGCUCUUUUACCCGGGAUGAUAAUGACAGUACCGGGAGAAUAAGCUCCGGCUAACUCCGUG